UUCGAGGGUUAUUGAUUUAAA
ensembl:piRNA 21ur-2993 ncRNA